UACGGGGGGGGCAAGCGUUGUUCGGAAUUACUGGGCGUAAAGGGCUCGUAGGCGGCCAACUAAGUCGGAUGUGAAAUCCCCAGGCUUAACCUGGGAACUGCAUCCGAUACUGGAUGGCUUGAAUCCGGGAGAGGGAUGCGGAAUUCCAGGUGUAGCGGUGAAAUGCGUAGAUAUCUGGAGGAACACCGGUGGCGAAGGCGGCAUCCUGGACCGGCAUUGACGCUGAGGCGCGAAAGCGUGGGGAGCAAACGGG
rnacentral:rRNA from 1 species